GACGAACGCUGGCGGCGUGCCUAAUACAUGCAAGUCGAGCGAAGUUUUUCUGGUGCUUGCACUAGAAAAACUUAGCGGCGAACGGGUGAGUAACACGUAAAGAACCUGCCUCAUAGACUGGGACAACUAUUGGAAACGAUAGCUAAUACCGGAUAACAGUAUUUCUCGCAUGAGAGAUAUUUAAAAGUUGGUUAUGCUAACACUAUGAGAUGGCUUUGCGGUGCAUUAGCUAGUUGGUGGGGUAAAGGCCCACCAAGGCGACGAUGCAUAGCCGACCUGAGAGGGUGAUCGGCCACACUGGGACUGAGACACGGCCCAGACUCCUACGGGAGGCAGCAGUAGGUAAUCUUCCGCAAUGGGCGAAAGCCUGACGGAGCAACGCCGCGUGAGUGAAGAAGGAUUUCGGUUCGUAAAGCUCUGUUGUUAGGGAAGAAUGGAUAUGUAGUAACUAUACAUGUAAGAGACGGUACCUAACCAGAAAGCCACGGCUAACUACGUG
rnacentral:rRNA from 1 species